rnacentral:tRNA from 1 species
GGCGAGGUAGCUCAGCUGGCUAGAGCGCGGCACUCAUAAUGCCGAGGUCGGGAGUUCGAGUCUCCCCCUCGCUA